rnacentral:rRNA from 1 species
CCUACGGGGGGCAGCAGUGGGGAAUAUUGCGCAAUGGGCGAAAGCCUGACGCAGCGACGCCGCGUGAGGGAUGAAGGUCUUCGGAUCGUAAACCUCUGUCAGCAGGGAAGAACGGUCACUGUGCUAAUCAGCAGUGAAUUGACGGUACCUGCAAAGGAAGCACCGGCUAACUCCGUGCCAGCAGCCGCGGUAAUACGGAGGGAGCGAGCGUUAAUCGGAAUGACUGGGAGUAAAGCGCGCGUAGGCGGUAUGUCAAGUCAAGGGUGAAAUACCCGCGCUCAACGUGGGAACUGCCUUUGAAACUGGCAAACUGGAGUGUGUGAGAGGAUAGUGGAAUGCCAGGUGUAGGGGUGAAAUCCGUAGAGAUCUGGCGGAACAUCAGUGGCGAAGGCGACUAUCUGGCACAUAACUGACGCUGAGGAGCGAAAGCGUGGGUAGCAAACAGGAUUAGAUACCCCUGUAGUC